CUUACUUCGCUCGGUUUCGAAGUGAAUAUUGUCAGAGUAACUUCAGAAGCUAGACUGGAAAGUGUGAUCUGUCCUUGAAGCGGAAAAUAUAGCAAGAUGACCCGGUUUGCAGUCUUUUCGCUUGGUGUUCUCUUGCUGGUAGCGUACUGUACAGCCAUGGACUGCUACGAAUACGAUUCGUGGAGUGGAAAAGGAGCAAAUAUCAUUAAAUCGAACAUUCUUGUUACAAAAGAGUUUCGUAUAACAGAUCACACACCCACACUCAAAAGUACUGCGGGAAGAAGGAGAAAUCGGACGGAAAAUGCUACACGUAUAUGUCCAGCUUCUUGCAGGAGGACCAUUGCACUUGUCUGGAUAACUUCUGCAAUUCCGCGAACCCGCUGACUGUGUUUCCCGGGGUUUUGUGUGCAGUAGUUUUACUAUUAAUCACAAUAUAAUUUUAGAAUAUUUUUAACGUUAACUUAUUGGUCGUCAGGAACUAAUUUUACGUUUUGCUAUAUUUUUAUGAUAGUUUUGUGAUUUACGCUUUCAAGUUAGUUGGCCUUUGAAUUAAUUUUUGCUUUCUCUAGAUUUUUUUGUAAAAUACUGAAUUGUUACUGAAGUAUUACUGGUAAUUUUGCUUGCAGCUGGAAAACCUGUUAUAAAUUUUUAGAUUUUACAGUUUUUAUUAGUUCUGGAAAACCUGUUAAGAAAUGUGUAUAGAUUUUAUUAAAAUACUUAUUAGUUCUGGAAAACCUGUUGAAGAAUUUUUAUAUAUUUUAUUAAAGAUUUUCUGUUA